GCUGAGGAGAGCUCAGGGAAGGAGUUAAUGGAAACAGGUUGACAUCAGUCCAACAUUGUCCUGUUUUCUAGUCUCCAGGCCCAGAAGGGGUUUCUCUUUGGCCUUUUCUCUGGCUGGAAACCAUACAGAUGAACGAACUUCAGGGCCCCUAAAAGAGAGGAACUAGAAGCUACCUGAAGCCUAGUGGAGAGGGAAUAACCUUGGAGUGGAAUGAAUCUGGGGAUUUCAGUCUUAGG